AUGUGAUGCUUCAAAACGCACCACGAUUUACUAUUCGGGAUGAAACGAGAAGGAACAACGCUCUGUGGAAUAGUGGUAUUAACAGUGUCAAGUUAACAU